rnacentral:rRNA from 1 species
GAGGAAAAGAAACUAACAAGGAUUCCCUUAGUAACGGCGAGUGAACCGGGAAGAGCUCAAAUUUGAAAUCUGGCUGUCUUCGAUAGUCCGAGUUGUAAUCUAUAGAAGCGUUUUCCGUGCUGAACUGUGUAUAAGUCCCUUGGAACAGGGUAUCAAAGAGGGUGACAAUCCCGUACUUUACACAAUCAUCAGUGCUCUGUGAUACGUUCUCUACGAGUCGAGUUGUUUGGGAAUGCAGCUCAAAAUGGGUGGUAAAUUCCAUCUAAAGCUAAAUAUUGGCGAGAGACCGAUAGCGAACAAGUACCGUGAGGGAAAGAUGAAAAGCACUUUGGAAAGAGAGUUAAACAGUACGUGAAAUUGUUAAAAGGGAAACGAUUGAAGUCAGUCGUGUUUAUUGGAUUCAGCCGGUCUUCGGUGUACUUCCUUUAAACGGGUCAACAUCAGUUUUGUCCGGUGGAUAAAGGCAGUAGGAAUGUGGCUCCCUCGGGAGUGUUAUAGCCUAUUGUCACAUACACUGGAGGAGACUGAGGACUGCAGCUCGCCUUUUGGCCGGGGUUCGCCCACGUUCGAGCUUAGGAUGUUGACAUAAUGGCUUUAAACGACCCGUCUUGAAACACGGAACAAA